GUGGGGGGCUGAUGGGCAGCGCCGAGGGGGCAGCUCCAGGCCAGCCCCGCGGCCACCCCACAGCCCGGGGGCAGGGGAAGGGCUGGUGCUGGGGGUGACGCUGCCAAUGGCUUCUCCGCAGGGAUCUCACUGGGAACGCGCUCGCCCUCAUCCCCCCGCAGGCGUGGAAGGGAUACCCGUGGGCAGAGAAGCUGGUCCUCCAGGACAACAGCCUGCGGGCAGUGAAGAGGCGCUCGCUGGAGGGGCUGCUCCUGCUGAGGCACCUGUAGGUACCCCCUGCCCAUGGCGGUGGGCACGGCCUCCCCCUGCCCUGGCCCUGCUGCUCAGCCCGCCCCAGGAAGGGCUUUAUUCCUGCGGGGAUCCCGGCUGCAGCCAGAGCAGAGCAGGGUCUUGGUGCUGUGUCAGAGAGAAACCCCACGUGAAAUGAGAGCUGUGGCGCGUCUGCGCUGCCAGAGUCAAAGCGCACGAAAGGAAACAGCACAGUGCAAAUGUCACCACCGUUUUGCGUUCUCAUGUUAACAGGGAUUUAUCUUACAACAAAAUCCAGUCAAUUGAGGCACGUGCUUUUGAGAACCUUCCUUUCCUGGAGACGCUGUGAGUUAUGGAAGAUUCUUCCUGGUGUCUUUGGUGAAGGCUGUUUCCAUUUAGAACCUUCUGGUGCUGGGAAAUGCUCCCGUUAGUUCUAGAAGAAGGACUCCAGUUUCUCCUGCCCAAAGAGCAGCCGAGCUCAGGAGCUCAGGGCAUGGCUGGUGGCCGCACCCGGAUGGGGGCCAUGGUGUGCUUGUGCAAACACAGCCAGAAUAGAAGCCAUGUCUUGAGGCUUGCUGUGUCCUGGAGCAGAGAGAGAUGCAGCACACGUGCGCUUCAUCUCCUCUCCUGGACAGGUUAACACACACCAAGAGAGAAAAUGGCAGUUUCCUCCCAGUUCCCCCUUGGAUGUGGCUGUCCCCUACAAACCAGUGCUGCUUCGCUCCAGCUUCCUGUGGGUCAGACCCGAUUCAUUUCU
rnacentral:lncRNA from 1 species